CCUACGGGAGGCAGCAGUAGGGAAUAUUGGGCAAUGGGCGGAAGCCUGACCCAGCCAUGCCGCGUGCAGGAAGAAGGCGUUAUGCGUUGUAAACUGCUUUUUUAUAGGAAGAAGGAUCCCUUGCGAGGGAAGGUGACGGUACUAUAAGAAUAAGCACCGGCUAACUCCGUGCCAGCAGCCGCGGUAAUACGGAGGGUGCAAGCGUUGUCCGGAUUUAUUGGGUUUAAAGGGUGCGUAGGCGGUUUAUUAAGUCAGUGGUGAAAGACGGUCGCUCAACGAUUGCAGUGCCAUUGAUACUGGUAGACUUGAGUGAGAUUGAGGUAGCUGGAAUGGAUAGUGUAGCGGUGAAAUGCAUAGAUAUUAUCCAGAACACCGAUUGCGAAGGCAGGUUACUAAGUCUUAACUGACGCUGAGGCACGAAAGUGUGGGGAUCAAACAGGAUUAGAUACCCUGGUAGUCCACACUGUAAACGAUGAUGACUAACUGUUGGCAUUAGUGUUCUAGUGGUACGAGAGAAGUACGUUAAGUUACAUACCACCCGUCGGGGUAGGUACGGCCCGGGCCGAACCGGUACGGAAACGUACGAAACGUAAGUUAGUAGGUACGGUGUAGACGACGACGACGACGGACGACCGACGGGAGGGAGGGAGG
rnacentral:rRNA from 1 species